rnacentral:tRNA from 2 species
GCUGGGAUGGCGAAAUUGGCAGACGCACUAGGCUUAGGACCUAGCGACCGCAAGGUUAUGAGGGUUCAAGUCCCUCUCCCAGCACCA